ensembl:snRNA U6 U6 spliceosomal RNA
ACGCUCACUUUGGCAGCACAUAUACCAAAAUUAGAAUGAUAAAGAGAAGAUUAGCCAUGGCACCUAUGCAAGGAUGACACACAAAUUCAUGAAUCAUUCUGUAUUUAC